rnacentral:misc_RNA from 1 species
AGAAGUUUGAUAAAAGACAUGGAGAUCAAGGAAAUUGUGAUUGAGACAAGUGAAGUUGAGUCUAUAAAAGCUAAAGAAGAGGAGAAAUUGAAGGGACGGCUGGUUCCUCUCUCUGGAGAGGUCUAAUUGAUCGAGUUAUGGAGUGCGAGUAGUGAUAAAUGAGUGAAGUUCUUCAUGUGAUGGCCUAUGCUGAAGUGAAGCUGGAGUUCAAGUACUUUUCUGGAGGUUAGAGCUAUGGAAUUCUUG